GAUGAUGAUAAUGACUGCUGAGU
rnacentral:piRNA from 1 species